rnacentral:lncRNA from 1 species
UUCUUUGGGACACUUCUCCAGCGCUGCCUUCCCUACCUCUGCCUUUGGAAUGAGUCUCAAACAUCAACAAAAUCAAGCUACGUUCUCAGUCUCCGGUCUGCAGCAUAGUGAUGAGAGGAAGAGAAAAUCCUCCACUCUUCUUGUCUGUUUAUAAUCUUAAUGGACCAUAAAGCAAUGUGGAUGGGUCCCCUCCUAGUGAGGAGCAAGCAGUCGCUGGCUCGAUCCCUUCCAUCACGCCCGGGCACUCCCGGGGCAAGCGGACUUAGCAGGAGUUUAAGGUGUUCCUUGGAGCUGGAAAAUAUGGUCCACUGUGGUGGAAGGCAAGGGCAGAGGCUCGAGAACUCAACCCUAGCUGUCAGCGGACCUCUUGGCUGUGCAGUUUGCUUUUCUUACUCUUUGGAGGCUGCGGGUUCCUUGGGUGGUGGUGCAUCAAAGGUGGGAGGAGAAAUCCUGGGACGAGAGUGAUUCAGGUUCCCAGAAGGUUACCAAGCGCGGAUAGACUUUAAGACCAGUUUUCCUCCCUUGCGCGUUGCUGGUUGAUUUUGCUUGAGGGACUGGCUGCGAAGAAGACUGAAUUCCAGAGAAGUCGAAGCUGCUGGAGAAAUGAAAGCAGCUCUCUUGUAGGGUUCCCGGGACCCAUUCUUAAGCUCAGCAGCUCCCAGACACUUUCUUCCUCUGGAGUAUUUGCCAUUCACCUUUCAGGACUUGAGGUCUCUCUACUGGGUCCUUGCCCUUAAGAGCAAGCUGAACCCCCUGAGAAACUGCAAGAACCCUGGAAAAACAGCCUUUCCCAUUUAAGGUCUUCCCCCUUUUUCCAGCCCUAGAUCUGUAAUGAUAGAUCCCCAUGCCAGACCUCUCUUUUCCUCUCCCUGUCCUUAUGUGUCUGCCCCCUGAAUGAGUCCCAAGCUAUCUAGACUUAUAGCACUUGUAUUGUAGCUAUGUUGAUAAGAGGGGAAACGGGUGUGGUCCUGUUCAGACUCCUGGGAAUGAGCCCAUUUAUCACAAUGGGGUGAAGAAGCAAACAGAAGCUGUCUUUGCAGGCAGCAUUCUGUCACUACUAGGAAAACUAACUAUGUAACUAACAUUCUUUCUUUCAUUGUUCCAAGAACUGCCUUUCUUAGGGAUCCAUCAGUUGGUGAUUAAGGGCUUUUAAAUAUUGUGCUCAUUAAGUAUCUAACCACAUUCAGUGUGUCUAUGGGUGUUGUUGUUUCCCUGGAAAUUAAAAAAGUAGAA